rnacentral:rRNA from 1 species
AGAUUGAACGCUGGCGGCAGGCCUAACACAUGCAAGUCGAGCGGCAGCACGGGUACUUGUACCUGGUGGCGAGCGGCGGACGGGUGAGUAAUGCCUAGGAAUCUGCCUGGUAGUGGGGGAUAACGCUCGGAAACGGACGCUAAUACCGCAUACGUCCUACGGGAGAAAGCAGGGGACCUUCGGGCCUUGCGCUAUCAGAUGAGCCUAGGUCGGAUUAGCUAGUUGGUGGGUAAUGGCUCACCGAAGGCGACGAUCCGUAACUGGUCUGAGAGGAUGAUCGAGUCGCACGUGGAACUGAGACACGGUCCAGACCUCCGAGGGAGCAGCGUAGGUGGGAAUAGUGGACAAGUGGGACGAAAGUCCUAGACUCCGAGCCUAGUCGG